rnacentral:rRNA from 1 species
GACGAACCGUGCGAACGUUGUUCGGAAUCACUGGGCUUAAAGGGCGCGUAGGCGGCUUGCCAAGUCCGGGGUGAAAGCCUCCAGCUCAACUGGAGAAGUGCCUUGGAUACUGGCGAGCUCGAGCGAGGUAGGGGCGGGUGGAACUUCCGGUGGAGCGGUGAAAUGCGUUGAUAUCGGAAGGAACGCCGGUGGCGAAAGCGACCCGCUGGACCUCUUCUGACGCUGAGGCGCGAAAGCUAGGGUAGCGAACGGG